CAAAACGUAGCUUAAACUAAAGCACCUAGUUUACACCCAGGAGAUUCCACACACUAAUGGACGCUUUGA
rnacentral:tRNA from 1 species